UGUUCUUAUGCUUCAUUGCUUUGUGCAUUUACAUUUGGGUAUUCAUUACUCGUCAAAGACUCGGUGAUUUAUUUGGCUAGUUUGGGUGUGAGAAUCAAAAUAUCAGCAUGGUAUAAUUCACGAGUAAAAUAGAAUUUGUUGCUGCACUACUGAUAUUAUGGACAUCUUCGUCCUUUGUGUACAUAAAUCUGGCGUUCUUGCAUUUGAACGAACGGAAGUUAUCAGUUUAGUGCUUAGCAAGGCUGCAGCAAGCGGAACCCAUCUGAAUUGCGCUCACGCCCGUGAAGCCCCUCCAUCGGGCCAUUUCAAUGUCUGACCGACAGUUUUGUCUUCCAAUUCUCAUCAGGCCAGUAGACUCUAGACUGUUUGAUGCCGCCGAAGAUGAUCUGACAAGCGAAAGAGGCAACUUGAGCCGCAUGUGUAGGCCAGGUGCCGCGGUUGGGCAUGGGCUCGUAGGCACCUCUACUCGUCGCCCACCAUGUUGGGGUGGUCCGCAAAGGAUGCCCAGAACCUUCACUUCAGUCAUCGAUCGACUCGUUGCCACGGAGGGGAAGAAGUGCAGGAUCAGAGAUGCUGAUGGAGCCGAUGACGUCAUCGGGGCUGUACACGAUGUCAGGGUGCUCUAGGAACAUGUGUACAGUCAAAAGGGGGAGGAUGAAGAUGAGGAGGAGAGCGUGAAUGCAAUGGGAGGCGACAUGGCCCCCUUUGUCGGAGUGGCAAUACAAGGGAUCGAAAGUGUUGACCAUAUUACUCCUGAUGACUAACCAUACAUCACUUGUCUUCUAUUGGAGUUGUUGCCCUAAACAACAACUAUAUCAUGCGAGCUCCCAUUCUCUUUGCAUAUCACCGUUGACGUGUAUCUGAAUUUCCAUCUAGAGAACAAACAUAGAUAUAUAUAUAUGUAACUGAUGUCGAGAUGUCUAGAGGUCGUGGAAAA